rnacentral:rRNA from 1 species
CCCUUAGAUGUUCUGGGCCGCACGCGCGCUACAAUGAUGAAUUCAACGAGCUUAUAACCUUGGUUGAAAAGCCUGGGUAAUCUUUUGAACUUUCGUCGUGAUGGGGCUAGACCCUUGCAAUUAUUGGUCUCCAACGAGGAAUUCCUAGUAAACGCAAGUCAUCAGCUUGCAUUGAUUACGUCCCUGCCCUUUGUACACACCGCCCGUCGCACCUACCGAUUGAAUGGUCCGGUGAAAUCUUCGGAUUGAGACUUUGAUUUCUUCACGGAAAACGCUGUUUUAAAAAGUUGAUUAAACCUUACCAUUUAGAGGAAGGUGAAGUCGUAACA